rnacentral:rRNA from 1 species
GACGAACGCUGGCGGCGUGCUUAACACAUGCAAGUCGAACGGAAAGGCCCUGCUUUUGUGGGGUGCUCGAGUGGCGAACGGGUGAGUAACACGUGAGUAACCUGCCCUUGACUUUGGGAUAACUUCAGGAAACUGGGGCUAAUACCGGAUAGGAGCUCCUGCUGCAUGGUGGGGGUUGGAAAGGUUCGGCGGUUGGGGAUGGACUCGCGGCUUAUCAGCGUGUUGGUGGGGUAGUGGCUUACCAAGGCUUUAACGGGUAGCCGGCCUGAGUGGGUGACCGGCCACAUUGGGACUGAGAUACGGCCCAGACUCCUACGGGAGGGAGCAGUGGGGAAUAUUGCACAAUGGGCGGAAGCCUGAUGCAGUAACGCCGCGUGCGGGAUGACGGCCUUCGGGUUGUAAACCGCUUUCGCCUGUGACGAAGCGUGAGUGACGGUAAUGGGUAAAGAAGCACCGGCUAACUACGUG